UAAUUUUUUUAAUCGUCACGCCUUUUAUCUCCGAAGGGUUAGGCAGAGGAGCACAUUAUGGCACGUUAUGCGACUAUACAAUGUACACCUACUUUUCACAUUAUCUGUUGUAACUCCCAUGUAGUAGGUGGUGAGCCUAUUGCCAUAUAGGUAUCGGGUAUAUUUUCAGACUCCGUACUACUACGGAAUUAUAAUUAUUAUGCAUUCACACAAUGAAGUAAACCAAAACAAGUUGUUCAAAUGUUUCCAUUUAAACCGACGGGUGUAAGAUUUAGGUACUGUAGGCACACAAACACGAUGUUAUGAUGAUUUAAUGUAAUUUUGGAAAGGGUCGCUUUUUUAAUUUCCUACCUGGGAACUUGUUUACCCUUACAACUGUUUAGUAUAUAAAGGAACAUUUUGGCCUUCAUGUCAUCAGUUCACUGAAAACCUUUACAACCAUGAAAUUGUUUGCCUUCUUCACGUUGUUCGUGUGCGCCAUCUUGGCUCUGGCCAGCGGUGAUGGGUCGUACUCCAGACAGGAGCGCAGCCCAGUUCCAGUCGAGGACGCAGCGCCAGCACCAGGCCCUCACUACCACCAUCACCACAUCGGCUACGGACACCACGGCUAAAAUCGAUCAUGUUUUCAUUUUUGGUUUUGUUUAAAUAGUUUCGAAUAUGUAUGUUUCACAUUUCAAUAAAAUCUAUAUUUAGUUUCAAUUUGUGAUUUUAUUACAACGUUUAUUAGAUAAGCAUUUUCACUACAA